UACGGAGGGUGCAAGCGUUAUCCGGAAUCAUUGGGUUUAAAGGGUCCGCAGGCGGAUGUAUAAGUCAGUGGUGAAAUCCCGUAGCUUAACUACGGAACUGCCAUUGAUACUGUACAUCUUGAAUUCGGUCGAAGUGGGCGGAAUAUGUCAUGUAGCGGUGAAAUGCAUAGAUAUGACAUAGAACACCUAUAGCGAAGGCAGCUCACUAGGCCUGAAUUGACGCUCAGGGACGAAAGCGUGGGGAGCGAACAGG
rnacentral:rRNA from 1 species